rnacentral:rRNA from 1 species
UACGGAGGGUGCAAGCGAUAAUCGGCAUCACUGGGCGUAAAGCGUGCGUCGGCUGUCUAGCAAGCCAGACGUGAAAGCCCUCGGCUCAACCGGGGAACUGCGUUUGGAACUGCUUGACUUGAGUCCGAGAGAGGGCGGCGGAAUUCCGGGUGUAGGAGUGAAAUCCGUAGAUAUCCGGAGGAACACCGGUGGCGAAGGCGGCCGCCUGGAUCGGUACUGACGCUGAGGUACGAAAGCGUGGGGAGCAAACAGG